GGGAAGUGGCUCAGUGGUAGAGUGCUUGCCUUGUAUGCAUGAGGCCAUGGGUUCGAUUCCUCAGCACCA
rnacentral:tRNA from 1 species